AUGUACUACCUGUACAUUCCGGUUCCUGCGCACCGUGCGCCUUGCAUCUGGCCAUCCUCGCUACGUUUUCAGCA
rnacentral:sRNA from 1 species